GGGGUGCUCGAGUGGCGAACGGGUGAGUAACACGUGAGUAACCUGCCCUUGACUUUGGGAUAACUUCAGGAAACUGGGGCUAAUACCGGAUAGGAGCUCCUGCUGCAUGGUGGGGGUUGGAAAGUUUCGGCGGUUGGGGAUGGAUUCGCGGCUUAUCAGCUUGUUGGUGGGGUAGUGGCUUACCAAGGCUUUGACGGGUAGCCGGCCUGAGAGGGUGACCGGCCACAUUGGGACUGAGAUACGGCCCAG
rnacentral:rRNA from 1 species